AAUUGUAAUAAGCUAACAUUGAACUUUCCUCAAGCAUUUCAACAUUAUAUCAUUCCGAUUGCAUUCAAAGAUUUGCUUAAAAUCUUACGUUUGCUAGUGUUUGUUUUCAAACAACACACGUGACUAAACCUGAUUGGUUGUUGUCAUAGUAACACGUCAUGGCGCUAUUUGAAAGCUGUUGUUCAGUUCGGUUCACGAGGUGCAUGCGAUUGCUUGCAUUAAACGUAUAAACUGUUAAAUUAGAUGGCGACUCUGCAUUAAACGUAUUUAUUUAAUUAAUCGGCGAUCAUAUUUCACCAGAGGACUAAGAUAAAACAACUCGAUUUAAAAUGUGAGCAGUUUUAGUGGAUCUGACGUUGAGGGAAAAAGUAUUUCGCUUUUUGUUUGGAGAUGAACGAGACAACACGAGGCACAGCGACAUAAAUAUGACCAACCAGAUCCCAAGUAGACAGGAAAAAUGAAGAUAUAGCGCAUAGAAAGACUUAUUCUUGGUGAUCAACUGCUAUUGACAUUUUUGAAUCGGGGCAAAUGUGGAGUGAAGAAAAACGUUUGCAACACAUCCAUUCCAGAGUGCUCUGACAGAUAAAACUGACACGCUUGACGAGGACACAGUCAAAGCUUUAAAAGGUAAACUGAGAAGUUAACAAAACUUCCAUACAUGCAUAUCUAUGCCAAUUUAUUUUAAACAUGGAUAUCCAAAUGUUCAUUCAUUAUUGGUUAAUUGGUAUAUUCUGUUUCCUUUUCACAGCCCGUGUGAUAAAGCAGUCUUCAAUUACUACGGUGUCUGAAUUGCAAGAAGAAGUGACCCUCCACUUAAACAUGUGACAUCUAAACUGUUUUGUGUUUUAGUUCAGCUUUUUAUAGGUUUAUCUUAAGUUGGUUAAAGGCGGAGUGCACUAUUUUUGA